CUCGUAGGUGGCCAACUAAGUCAGACGUGAAAUCCCUCGGCUUAACCGGGGAACUGCGUCUGAUACUGGAUGGCUUGAGAUUGGGAGAGGGAUGCGGAAUUCCAGGUGUAGCGGUGAAAUGCGUAGAUAUCUGGAGGAACACCGGUGGCGAAGGCGGCAUCCUGGACCAACACUGACACUGAGGAGCGAAAGCCAGGGGAGCAAACG
rnacentral:rRNA from 1 species